rnacentral:rRNA from 1 species
GACGAACGCUGGCGGCGUGCUUAACACAUGCAAGUCGAACGGAAAGGCCCUGCUUUUGUGGGGUGCUCGAGUGGCGAACGGGUGAGUAACACGUGAGUAACCUGCCCUUGACUUUGGGAUAACUUCAGGAAACUGGGGCUAAUACUGGAUAGGAGCUCCUGCUGCAUGGUGGGGGUUGGAAAGUUUCGGCGGUUGGGGAUGGACUCGCGGCUUAUCAGCUUGUUGGUGGGGUAGUGGCUUACCAAGGCUUUGACGGGUAGCCGGCCUGAGAGGGUGACCGGCCACAUUGGGACUGAGAUACGGCCCAGACUCCUACGGGAGGCAGCAGUGGGAAAUAUUGCACAAUGGGCGGAAGCCUGAUGCAGCGACGCCGCGUGCGGGAUGACGGCCUUCGGGUUAUAAACCGCUUUCGCCUGUGACGAAGCGUGAGUGACGGUAAUGGGUAAAGAAGCACCGGCUAACUACGUG